rnacentral:lncRNA from 1 species
UAUGGCAGUUUGAUUUGGACUAGAGACGAAUGGGGAAUACUAUGGGCCCGAUAAAUAGAUAAGGAAGUGGCUAAAAUCACAGGACAAUGUAGGAGUGGUGGAUGGAUCUCGGUUCUUUUUAAUAUUCAUUUUGUUUCGGGGGUGAAAUGAUCUUAUUACGGGAUAAUGCGCUUAUAACGGAUGCUUAUGAAGUGAUUAUCAACUUUUUGUUUGUAUACUUUACAAUCUAACUGUUGGUGUUCGUUAUGGUUAUAAAUAUAUAACUUAUUGUGUUUGUU